GACGAACGCUGGCGGCGUGCUUAACACAUGCAAGUCGAACGGAAAGGCCCUGCUUUUGUGGGGUGCUCGAGUGGCGAACGGGUGAGUAACACGUGAGUAACCUGCCCUUGACUUUGGGAUAACUUCAGGAAACUGGGGCUAAUACCGGAUAGGAGCUCCUGCUGCAUGGUGGGGGUUGGAAAGUUUCGGCGGUUGGGGAUGGACUCGCGGCUUAUCAGCUUGUUGGUGGGGUAGUGGCUUACCAAGGCUUUGACGGGUAGCCGGCCGGAGAGGGUGACCGGACAAAAUGGGGAAGGAAAACAGGCCAGAAGCCCGCGGGAGGGAAGAGGGGGGGAAAAUAGAAAAUGGGGGGAAGGACGAAGGCAGCAAAGCCGAGGGGGGGAGAAGGGACGUGGGUUUUAAAACCGCUUGCGCCGGUGAGAAAGGGGGAGAGGGGAAAGGGGGUAAAGAGAACAGGAAAAAAAAGAGC
rnacentral:rRNA from 1 species